rnacentral:rRNA from 1 species
AACUGUUCCGUUGUGUUUUUUUAUUAUGGGAAAUAUUUUUUUUAGGUUUUAACUAAUAUCCUAAUGGUUUUAUAAGGAGUGGUUGGGAUUAAACAAUAAUAAAUUUGAUUUAGUAAAGCCUCUUAUCGGAUAAAAAUAAGUGCCAGUAAUCACGGUUAUACUUAUCGGUGUAAAAGUUAUAUAACGACUGUUUUUGCAAACUUUAUUUAGCUGUUGUAAAAAUUUGCUAUUUGGAGUUAAAAAUAAAUUUAUUGACAUGGAUUAGAUACCCAUCUAUAAAAUAUACAAAGUAUAAAUUAAUAUAAAUAUAAAUAAUUAGACGGUAAAUUAUAUACAGAGGUGCUUGUUUUGUAAUAUGAUAAUCCGCAUUAGUUCUGUUCUUUAUAAAGUGUAUGUCCGUUUUAUAUAAAAUUAUUUUAUGUUUUUUCAGGUCCCCAUGCUAUUAGAGCAGUUUUUUAUGAGCAGCAGUAAUUUUUUGGUUUUUUGUUGAGAAACUUAAUUGAGAGAGGAUUUGUAAGUAAAUUUACGUUAUUAACUUUUUUUGAAUAAUUUAAUUUUGAGUACUCACCGCCCGCUAAUAAGGUUGUAAAAUUUUAUAAAGCGUAACAAGGUAAGUUUUCUAGAAAGAGAACUUGGAUAAAU